GUGCAUCAGGCAGAGGAGGAGGAGGAGGCAGGGUGGUUUCUGUGUUCAAACAGCAUCUGAACUGCAGCAGCGGUGAAACUUUCACAUGUGGAGUCUGUCCGGUCUGGAGGAGUCUUCAUGAUGAGGAGGAAGAUGAGGAGGCUGAUGAUUUGAAGUAUUUCAUUAGGAAUGUUUUUGAAACCUGAGUAUGAUAUCAUCAGGGACUUUGGGUUGAUUUGGAUCGUCCUGGUGUUAUUGUACUGAUUCAUCUUCUAGAACCUGCCCUGAAACUGCUCAUUGGUCCGUCAGAUCCAGCUGCUCACCAUCAGCGUGCACUGUUCUGUGCAUGGAACGCUGUUCAUCCUGAUGUGUGGCCCUUGUCUUCGGUGCUCGCUGUCUACGAGGUGGCCCCCUGCUGUCACAUCCUGCACACAGCAGGAGUCACCUCGGAUCCGUUUUCAGUGUGGUUUUCAAUCCAGAAAUAAAAUAAGUACACCUUUUAAAGUGUUGUUAAUCUCUUGCAUUGUUUAUCUAAAACUGAGUUGUGAAGCAUGUUUUAGGAUAAAUCCCAUUUUCAAGAAAAAUAAAGCAUUUUAUAAAGUAAAGUUAUGAUCUGCUAGUUGGAAAGGUCAGCUAAUGGGUUUUAAAAAUCCUCAUAUACAAUUAAUUUUACAGCCCUAAACAGAAGUUUGCUGGUUUUACCUCAUAAAUUGGUUUGCAUCACACUCUUUUAUGUUCAAUAAAAAAACGUUUAAAACAUUUUGAAAUAUUAAUACAUUUAAAUUCAGAUUUUGAGUGGAAGUUUUAUAUAUGUUGAAGAUUUUUUUUUACUUAUUUAUUCAUGUUACUUUUUCUGUCUCUUUCAGCAGAGUUCUGGUUCUGGUAGUAAAUAAUCUGCUCUCUGUGAGGCAGUAUCGCCCCCUGGUGGAGGUCAUCAGAGACAGAACCGGCUGUGUGUUCAGGUGUGUGCACUCUGCAGUUUAACUGUAGGUGAACAGUUCAGACUGGACCUCCUGGUGGUACAGUGCCCCGUGCAGGCUUCAGAUCAGCAGGUUUGACUCAUUCAUGUGAACCUGACCUGCUGCUGAACCAUGGAGAGCCAUGUUUCACAUCUGUUUGUGAAGCCCAUCACUGUGAGCAAUCCUCCUAACAGUCCUACGUAGAGAUGUCAUUUGUUCUUAUGGCAGAAUGGGACAUUUCAUCCUGACUUUAGUUUGCUGCCACUGGGACCGCGACGCUGAUGUUCACUGAUGAUGGAACUGCUGAUCAAGGAACUCUGAGAUGGUUGGAUCUGUUCCAGUAAAUGGCUGCAAACUCAUUGGGUGGAGCUUCGUCUCAUGAUCCUAAACUAAAAAAAAACAGGACUUUUCUUACUGGAGAAAUCUGUAAAAUCCUUGUUUUCCAAGAGAAGAAGUUGAUGAAGAAGUUUCUCCUCAGAAGUGCUGCUUCAUUAACAUCAGACUGAUCGAGAGGAGGGGCCUUUACUAGUUUAUUGUAAGUUUCAGGUCUAAAAGAUGCAAGCUUCUGACAGAAAUCCUCAGACACCAGGUUCUGAGGUGUUCUUCUUGUACUGCUGCUGUUAAAUUAAAUCCUAACAUAUUCAGCUGUUUUUGAAUGUUUCCUGAUGAAGUGCCUUUGAGCAACUGACUGCUGCCAGGUGUUGCCACUGCUGCCAUAACCUCAUGUGUUAAAUUGGGUUUCUCAGGUUCCUGGUUAGUGAAAACAAAGAGUUUUUCUUCAUUUAAGACUUUCAGCUGCCGUGUUUAGUCUCCCAGGUGUUCAAUUUAGUCUGGUUUAUCAGGGUCCUGCUGGCUUCUUUAAUUUGAAUCUCACAGACGGAUUUUAAAUUAAAAUCUGUGAAUGUGGACCCAAUUGGUUCUUCCUGCAGCUUCCUUCAUUUUGAACUUUAAACUUCUCCAAAACCACAUCACCCAGGCUGUUUGUUCCUCAGCAUUCCUUUUCGGAGCUGCUUGUUAUUUCUCUGUUUUGCUGUAAACAUGGUGGCCCGGCUUGAUGCCUCCUGAACAUCCACCUUCAGCCAGAGAACAUCGGAUCAGGAUGUAAAUUCACUCCGACUGUCAGACUGGGAACAACAGCUCCGAUAAGCUUUAAAAACACCCGGGGGUCGGGCAGCAGGAGGAGCAGGGAUUAUCCAAAACUGGCCCUAGGGGGUCUAGCUUCUGCACUCAGCCAGAUCGGACCUUCAGGGCCCUGGGUGCAGAGUGACAGGGUCCCCAGGGGCCUGGUGACCCCCUCAGGACGGAGAUUACAGGGUGGGACUGCAGCUUGUAUCUCUCAUCCUGGAUGUUAAGAU